UGUUUCGGCUAGGGGGCCAUCCCGGCUUACCAACCCGAUGCAAACUGCGAAUACCGGAGAAUGUUAUCACGGGAGACACACGGCGGGUGCUAACGUCCGUCGUGAAGAGGGAAACAACCCAGACCGCCAGCUAAGGUCCCAAAGUCAUGGUUAAGUGGGAAACGAUGUGGGAAGGCCCAGACAGCCAGGAUGUUGGCUUAGAAGCAGCCAUCAUUUAAAGAAAGCGUAAUAGCUCACUGGUCGAGUCGGCCUGCGCGGAAGAUGUAACGGGGCUAAACCAUGCACCGAAGCUGCGGCAGCGAACGUAUCACUUAAAGCGAUUCAGCGGGUUACGAUUGACGGAGCGAAGCGACGUCAAAGCGUAUACAAAGUCGAGUCGGUUUAAGGAUACGUUCGUUGGGUAGGGGAGCGUUCUGUAAGCCUG
rnacentral:rRNA from 3 species